rnacentral:rRNA from 1 species
UACGAAGGGUGCAAACGUUGCUCGGAAUUAUUGGGCGUAAAGGGCUCGUAGGCGGUUUGUCGCGUCGGGAGUGAAAACCAGGUGCUUAACACCUGGCUUGCUUUCGAUACGGGCAGACUAGAGGCAUGCAGGGGAGAACGGAAGUUCCUGGUGUAGCGGUGAAAUGACGCAGAUAUCGGGAAGGAACACCUGUGGCGAAGGCGGCCCCCUGGUUGGAUACUGACGCUGAGACGCGAAAGCGUGGGUAGCAAACAGG